rnacentral:rRNA from 1 species
AUCAGUAAGCGGAGGAAAAGAAACUAACAAGGAUUUCCCUAGUAGCGGCGAGCGAACAGGAAUGAGCUCAGCACUGAACCUCGAGCCCGGCAAAGCGGACUCUGAGGAAUGUAGUGUUCGGGAGGAUCGUGCGCGUCUGUCCGGUAUUUAUCGUCCAAGUCUCCAUGAACGGGGCGAGCAACCCACAGAGGGUGUCAGGCCCGUAGACCAGACGAGCCGAGACCGUGCAUCGGAUCCCUUCCCAAGAGUCGGGUUGCUUGAGCGUGCAGCCCUAAGCGGGAGGUAAACUCCUUCUAAAGCUAAAUAUCGCCACGAGACCGAUAGCGAACAAGUACCGCGAGGGAAAGUUGAAAAGAACUUUGAAGAGAGAGUUCAAUAGUGCGUGAAACCGUUCAGGGGGUUAAACGGGUGGGCCCUCGAAGGUCGAACGUGCCUCCGCUCCCGGCACUCGGUAGCAUGCCCUCGGCGCCCGGGAUCGUCGACAAGACGUCCCGGCGCUGGGGAUCGCAUUAGCCGCGCCGAGGUCCGCUAGUGGGACCAUAGGACUCUGCGACCGGUUGGGUGUGCUGCUACAAGGGCCGGCGGUUAGCGAGCUUUCGCGGUUUCGGCUGCGUUGCGAGCGCCCCGGUUCCGAGCAGUCCCGCCCGACCGUGACCUGUCUCCUCCCCUCUUAAGUUACGGGGAGGCCCAGAGCAGAGAGUAGAAGUCGGGUCCCACCCGACCCGUCUUGAAACACGGACCAAGGAGUCUAACAUGUGCGCGAGUCGUCGAGAUUUCAUACUAAACUCGCGAGGCGCAAUGAAAGUAAAGCAGCCCCGAUGAGGGUGCCUGCGAGGGGAGAUCCCGUCUCGAACAGAGCGGGCGCAUCCCCAGGGCGUUCGAAGCCGCGACUCUGUCGGCCGAACGAACCCGGAGCGCACACGUUGGGACCCGAAAGAUGGUGACCUAUGCCUGACCAGGACGAAGCCAGGGGAAACCCUGGUGGAGGUCCGCAGCGAUUCUGACGUGCAAAUCGAUCGUCGGAGUUGGGUAUAGGGGCGAAAGACUAAUCGAACCAUCUAGUAGCUGG